UAUGCGUUUAGAAGUUCUUCUAUAAGGUUUUCAUCCUCUGCACUAAGACUUAGUGUUGAUGUUAAAUAUAUAUUAAAUUAAGAGGUAUUUGUUGACCUGGAAGUUUUAUUUGUAAAAGGACUUUGCUAUUUAUAUUAAUUGAAUGGCUAAUGGAAUGUAGUAUCUGUUUGCAAGUAGUACAUAUGUGAGUUCAAAAAGGGAAUUGGUUACCAUCCAAAAUACAAUAAGAACACAAAUUGCUGAAUCCUCAUACAAAGAGAAGACAUGCAGACAGAGGGUACAAAUGAAAAAUACAUGAUUCUACAGCUAGAACAGUGGAUUCUGAAGUGUCUGCAAGUGUAGUCCUCCUCGGUUUCUAUCUCUCCCUGCGCUAAAUGAAGUCACUCAAGUAACUCUUUGGUUUCUGCAAUUUUUUUUUUUUGGCGUGGUUGCUUCAUAGAACAUAAGCUUUUUGUUGUUUACGCUUAAUAGAACGUAAGCUUUUUGUUGAUUAAGUAAGCUUUUAUUCAAUGAGUGUAUCUCUAUUCUGCAAACAAAUAUUAUUGACCGGUUGUUUUUGCUUUAUCCUUUUUGUCUGUGAUUCAUGAUUUACUGGGUCUGGGUAAUUCAGAAACUUGGCAGUGCUUCAUUAUUGUGUGUUUAUGAAUUUUCAUGUUAGAUUGGAUCUAAUUUUUAGUUUUUAUUUUUAUUUUAUUCUUUCCCUCCAUAUACAUGAGUGAUUGGGAAGAAAAACAAACUAGAGGUGAAAUCUUGAAUUUGGUUUUAGUCUUUCGCAUCGAAUUGGUUGAAAUGUUGAAAAAUUUUAAGCUUGCAGUGGCUGCUCUCUGGGUUAUCUAUGGUUUCUGUUGAGCCUCUUUGCUUGCAUUUGAUUUGGUUGGGUUAGGAAAUUGGGGAGAAAAGACAGAGCUAAAUUGGAUGCUGUGUUGUUCUGGGUUCAUAUCGAAAAGUCAAAACUAUCAAGUGUUAUUAGGUCUGUUCAAUUGAAUUGUUUCUGGGUUCAAAAGUGCAUGCUUUUCCUCUGCCUAUGUGGCUAUGUUGUUCUCAGCAUAGAGUUAACUUUUAUGUAAUCUGCCAGUGUAUAUUGAUACAACUCACUUGGUCUUGGAAGUUCGGCAAUUGCUUCCUGAUCCUCUUUUUUUAUGUCAGAAAACUAUCUCACAAGAUCUGGAGUUGGAAUCACUUUUUCCAGGCAUGUCUCCAUGAUCUGGAGUUGGAGAAUGGUAUUGCUGUUCUGAAUAAAGAUUCUGCCAUUGGUAUUGGAUUUGGAACUUCGGGAUCGAACCUACUUUAGCUACACUUAUAUAGGAUCUAGAAAGAAGAUUGAGUUUAUGCUUUCGGUCAGCGGAGGCAGCAUUCUAUCAUGGAUUGGACAUGAUUAUUUUGUUGUGGAUGAUAAGACUGCUGCACAUCAUGAGGCAAUAGGAAACCUAUUACUUCAGAUGGCUGUCAAUUCAUAUAUGUCAUGAUAUAUGUGUUCCUGCUGUGAGAAAUUGGUGAUAACUUCUAAAGGAACCAAUCAUAAAGUUUAUGAAACUUGAUACUACUGAUAACUUCUCACGCUAUAAGUCUCAGGUGAUCUCAUAAUUCAAGUGAAGGGAAGUAGAUAUUUGCUUCACAAGGUCACACAUUGCAGCUUCAAGCAUUCUUCAAAUCUUGCAUACUCCAUGGCUGGAUGGACAAAAUUUCCACUCUUAUACUCUACAAAGCAUGAAGCUGACAACCUUUUAGAUCAGUACACGAAUGAGCUUCGUGGUUGUUGUACAGUGUUAAAUGAACAUGUGAAAAAUUUGUUUCAAAUUGAAAACUUCAUUUGAUUA